AUCAAAGUGUCUGAAUACUGAUGUAAAUAAGGUUUUUGUUUUAUUUUUAAUAAAUUUGCAAAAAUGUCUAAACCUGUUUUAGCUUUGUUAUUAUGGGGUACUGUGUGUAGAUUUAGGGAAAAAAUAUUAAAUCAAUUUUAGAAUAAGGCUGUAACAUAACAACAUUUUGUAAAAGAGAAAGGGUCUGAAUACUUUCCGAAUAAUACUGUAUAUUUUAGAGCAGCGUUUCCCGAACUCGGUCCUCAGGAUCCCAAGGGGUGCACGUUUUGGUUUUUGCCCUAACACUACACAGGUGAUUCAAAUACAAGCUUGAUGGUUAGUUGAUUAUUUGAAUCAGCUGUGUAGUGCUAGGGCAAAAACCAAAACGUGCACCCCUUGGUGUCCCGAGGACUGAGUUUGGGAAACACUGUUGUAGAUGCUAUUUAUACUGAAAAUGUGUAUAAAACCUGUGUAAAUUGUACGACAGUAUGUUAGGUUGACUAUAAUUCUAUUACACAAUUUGAUACAUCACAUGCCUUUAUUUUCCUGGGUUAUUAAAAAGCAGGAAAUGCAUCACCUAUGCCUCAACUGCCAUUAAUUCCAAUUAGACUGGUUUUGGAUUUCUCCUUGACCAUUAUGGCUGCCAUUAUGUAACUUUGAGAGUUUAUGACAUAGCCCCUCUAGUAAUUUAAUAGGAUCGCUACAGUGCUACUACUAUAUUACUAUUGUCUCUCUGGGACUAACUAAAUCCUUGUCUGCUUGUUGUUCCUUUUGUUACGUAAUACUUGUAUGUUUGGGUUUAGGGUUGGAAGCACACAAUGCAUCAUGGUUAAGAGAUCGGUUUACUAAGGCACACCUCGUUAGUAUCGUGGCAAGGAAACAAAUCACGAGGCGGAUUACAUUUCUUUAGGAAUAUAGCUCUAAUGUUGAAAACAUUCAUUAUUUUGUCACCCAGAGUUACAUUUAUUUUCCAAGCUAUAGCACACAAUUUUACAGACAGCAGGUUUUUAAAGGACAAACUUGUUUGUUCUGCUUCGUGUUUUCAUUUUUGCCAUGCCGCCCCCCCCAAAAAAAAAAUCACAAUACUGGUAUUGUCAAAGCCCUACAGUUUACAGUGCUGGUGUGUAUUUGCUGAGGGAGAGGCUAUAAUGAAGCUUACAUACCAUAAUGUGGACUUAAAUACACGUUGCUGUAAUGUUAGUCCUAUUUUUGCAUUGAUUAAGCUGCUGUUUGGCAAAGUAAAGCGCUCGCCUUGCUUACUGUAUUGUUACCGUUGUUCACGAAAGAGGACAUUCAUAAUUUCUCUGUGUUCAUAUACCUCUGGUCUAAAGCUGAGUGUAGUCCAUAGUGUGAAUGCAAAAUCAAUGGAAGUAAUUGGCAGUGCACUUAUUACCUCUAAUUAGGUAAUAAGUCAGUACAAUCACAUUAUAUUGCUACAAGUAGAGGUGAAGGGUAAGCCAAAACUGCCUGUGUGUCAGAGUGCACCCACAGCCUCAUGCGCCUGGGGAAUUUACUAAAUGUUCCAGCCGGGCCCAGUAGUGACCUUUCUUUUCUUUUCCUGGCCCCUCCACCUCUCUGUGAGUAGGUUCCCCUGUGCUGUCAUGCUUGCCACGCCUUUCCCUCACUUAUCUUAUCAGUGACUGAGGUUUGGCCUGAGCUUUGCUCACAGCUCAGCAGAUAGGUCAAUAUGAAACUUCGUAAUGAAAAUCGGGACUUAUUCAAUGAAUUUCAUUCAAAGAAACUCACAGGCAUCGCAUGUGAGCCAAGUCUACUGUUGGUGCUUUCAUCGUUGUUUUUUCAUGUCUUCUGAGAACCUCUGAUCGCCCCCUGGCACCUAGUGACGUGAACAGAUUCUUCUCCAUUCAAGGAUUUUGUGGUUAGAUCAGUUGAUGGCUGUUUUAAUUCUGUGUGGAUAAGUUUGAAUGGGAUGCCCCGGCUUGAGGACAAAAGCAUGUUUCCCAUUUCUAUCGGCGACUCACACUGCUCCUAGUUGUAAAUGAUUAGCGUUCCUGAAGUAUAUUACAUUUUUUGGGAAGAUUUUAUAAACUAUACAAAACAUACACAUCCAAACGACAACAUCAUACAAACAUUAACUACAUCACACCUGCCCAGACCAGGGUGACCGUGGGUCCUUAGUCUUAAUGCUUUUAAUUUAGAUUAAAUUAAUUUAAGUCUUAAAUACAUUUUUAAGAGGUCUUAAAAAUAAAGUAGACCGGGAUAUUAACUACUUUUUAUUAUGUUCCGUUUGCGUUGAACAGAGGUGACGUAAAGAAUGGGUGAUAGGAUUGUGAUUUACCUCAAUGGAAGGAACUCAUUUUAGCUUGAGUCACGCGCAGAGCGGAACCACACUAACACGGAACCCAAACCGGCUGCGCGCGUGCGCCAUCGUGCAUAAAUGUAUUUUGUCCCCCCACACCAAACGCGAUCACGACACGCAGAUUAAAAUAUGAAAACAAACUCUGAACCAAUUAUAUUAAUUUGGGAACUGGUCUCAAAGUAUUAAACAUUUAUGGCAAUUUAGCUAGUUAGCUUGCAUUUGCUAGCUAAUUUGGCCUAUUUAGCUAGCUUGCUGUUGCUAGGUAAUUUGUCCUGAGAUAUAAACAUUGAGUUGUUAUUUUACCUGAAAUGCACAAGAUCUUCUACUCCGCCAAUUAAUCCACACAUAAAAUAGUCAACCGAAUCAUUUCUAGUCAUCUCUCUUCCUUCUGGGCUUUUUCUUCUCUUGACUUUUAUAUUGCAAUUGGCAACUUUCAUAAAUGUGGUGCAUUACUGCCACUGACCUCGUUCGUCUUUCAGUCACCCACAUGGGUGUAACCAAUGAGGAGCUGGCACGUGGGUACCUGCUUCUAUAAACCAAUGAGAUGGGAGAGGCGGCAGGACUUGCAGCGCAAUCUGCGUCACAAAUAGAACUGUCUUCUAUUUUAGCCCUUGGCAACGCAGACGCUCAUUGGCGCGCGCAAUAAUUGAAUAAUAUAGAUUUCAAAAUUUAUUUUGCAAUGCUCGCGCAGGCGAUACGAACGGUGUAGUCAGCCUGUAACGUUCCCGCAGCGGACAGAAGUCAGUGAGUCACUCGUGACUGUUGGCAUAUUUUCUUUCAACACGGCUUGUGCAUUAAUCUGUUAGCUAGCAGAGAUUGGCUGUGGUGAAGUGGUAACGGAGGUCGACUUGAAACUACGGUAGACGGCUAAUGUUACAGGCUGACUGCACCGCUCGCAUCGCUCCCAACCCCUGGAACAGAGUCGUUUUGACACAAACAGCUCAGCAAGAUCAGCUCAUCUUGGGUCAAACUGCAGUUCUUCAUGGUUGUCUCCAGGACUUUCAGUCCCUUUUUGACCAAGUACCAGAUUGACGAGCCAGUGAUGCCACUCCACUGCAAAGAGUUGAUAAUGUUUUCCUGUUGGCAUAGUCUGCUUAGGCGUUCUGUCAAGAGGGAGCUCCUCCAGGACAUCACUCCAUUGCAGAUGAUCAGACUGGGUGUCGCUGACCAAAAUAAUUGGGCCCGCCCGAAGGAAGUUGACAUCGGUUUGGGUGCCGAGUCAGUCCUCAAGGUGAUGUGGGAACUUCCUAUCCCUUGAGGCCACAAGUAAGCACUUACUCUCUUUCCGGACCACAGAGACGAGGCUGGAUGUGUUCCUGCAUGGCUUCCUCAGCCAAUCCUACCCUGAGCUUUGGGGUUUCUGUAAGAAGCUUCUUCUGUCCCAUGGGCAGGCAGCUGUCGAGAGAGGCUUCUCCAUCAACAAGGAGGUGGAAACCUGUAACAUGCAGGAGGGUAUAGGGCUGUGGCGUUCACAAAAUUGUCAGCCGGUGAUUGUCAAGCAAAUAACUACCGGUUUCAUGGUACUUGACCAUUAAUUAACAUAAACAUAUUUAGAAUCUCCUGGCUUCCCCACACAGGCUAGAAUACAUUUUAAAAAGUAUAAUAAAUCCAUGUUAUAUAGCCUACACCUUCACAAUAAAUCCAUUAUUUAUUUUAGACAGGUCUAAAGAAGCAUGAUAUGAAGAAAAUUGUGUUGAUUUCAGAAGAAAAGAAUAGCAUACUCGUGAGUUGUCCUUAUCUUAGGUCCUGAUGUGGCUAUGCCAAAUGGCUGUGGGAUACACUAGUUCAUUUAGAAAACAUGAUUUGCUUAUAAUACCGUGGUGUUUUUAUAGUAUGAAGAAUACAAUUGAACAAAGCUGAAUAAAAUAUAAAUAUUUUCUCCAAAUGAUUUGAGGGAAUGCGGACAUGCGGCUAUUCUGUGUGGAGCGGUUAACAAAGAUAGGUAUUCCUAUUUGAUUAAUUUAGAGUUAUUCUAGUAACUUUAGUUCUACAAACGUUGGGCUACAUGUUUUGAUUUUUAAUGCAUUGUAAGGCUGCAUGAUGAGGCUCUAAUGAUUUGAAAAAAGUAACUUGAAAGGCAUGAGCUCAGCUUUGUUUUUUGCGCAGUCUGUACACACUAAUAGCCUCGUUCACAAUUUGACAAGCACUUGAUAAUGCCUUCAUGGCGGCAUCCCCUUUGUGGCCGUAAUGCACCCUAAUGCACCCUGCUUUUUGCAGCCCAAAAGUGCUGCGUUGUGCCCUUCUCCCUGAGUGUGCUGCGCAAUCCGAAGCGUCUAACUCACACGGCUCUCCGUCACGUGAUCGGGUCUCUCUCACAGGCUACAAGUGAAGACCGACACAUCGGGGACGCAACUGCGAUUCUGCAAUUCCGAGGUGUAUAUUGACGAUAUUGUAUGAACUGUUCACGUUUACUUCUCGGCAGCCAACAAGAUGAGUAGGCCUAACGAAAGGCAAAAUCAUUAGCCUAUGUCAAUCUACUAUCCCCAUAGUACAAAAGUUGACCUAUUCUGUGCGAGAAAUAAAUAGUCCAAACUGUCUGGGACAGUUGUGGGAUGCGAUAGAUCCCACAUUAAUACAACCACUACUAGCAUUAAAAAAAAAUAAAAUAAUGUUAUGCAAUGUGGCUAACGCAACAGAUCAGAAUGUUUAGCUUAAAAUGUUGAUAAACUAUUAGGCUAUUUCUUCACAUUAUAAGUGCAGCAAUGCGCACAUGGUAGUAGGCUAUAAGUGCAAAUGUUGCAUUAGCGGAAAGCACCAUUAUCAAAAGUGACCGCAAAUGCAAUUAUGCAUGUGAUGCUUUUAUUAUAAAGGUGCAUUUUUGUGGUGAAAAUGAUCUUCUCCAAAUUUGAAACUCACGCGCUGCUUAUACAGUGGGGAGAACAAGUAUUUGAUACAUUGCCGAUUUUGCAGGUUUUCCUACUUACAAAUUACAGACCUCUACAUGCUUUGUAUCAUAGGUACACUUCAACUGUGAGAGACGGAAUCUAAAACAAAAAUCCAGAAAAUCACAUUGUAUCAUUUUUAAGUAAUGUAAUUUCCGGACUAUAAGCCGCAACUUUUUUUUCCCACGCUUUGAACCUCGCGGCUUAAACAAUGACGUGGCUAACAUAUGGAUUUUUCCCGCUUACAUUUUUUUUUUUCCAAAAAAACACAUUCUGUGACGUGCUCAGUUUUUUGGCGGCAUAAAGCUUUCAUUAGACCAUUGAAAUUGCCGAUCGGGUUGAGGUCAAACAACUUUUUGGUUUACUGUUUAGAUUAAAUCGAGCGCUCUCAAACUUCAUCAUUCUGAUUACGGUAGUCAUUUUGUCACCCUCAUCAUGGCAACGACACGGAGAAAUGCAUAUGAUGCAGCUUUCAAGUUGAAGGCGAUUGAUCUGGCUGUUGGAAAAGGAAAUAGAGCUGCUGCAAGGGAGCUUGGUCUUAAUGAGUCGAUGAUAAGACGUUGGAAACAGCAGCGUGAGGA